GGGAGGGCUACAGACCAGGACCGAUUGUGCAGGGCUGAAGACAAAGGCUGGUUUAGAAGGAGGGUUGGCUCCUGCCUCCGCAAAUUGGUCACAGAGUGGAUUUAGGUUUGGAAAGUGAGGAGAGAAAAACGAGCCUGAAGAAUGUGAGAAAAAGGGUUGGAGAUGUAGAGGUGUUUGUCAUCUGCGAUGGGAUGAGGGACUAGGAACUUUACCUUUUUGAACAAUAAAAUGAGUUUCAUCAAAGAACUGAGAAUAAAGAAGGACACUUAAGGAGGCAGAUAUACGACUCUUGAAAAAAUUAAGAACGAAAAUGGACUAGGAAAAAAGGAAAGAACGUCAUGGGUCACUUCUUUGGGGUGGGCAAUGCUAGCGAAAGGUGAGUUUCUGUGAAGUUUCAAGUUGCAUGUUUAGAUUUUCUUUCAUGUAUAUGCAUAUACUUAUUUUUUUUCAGUACUGGGGAUUGAAGAGAGGGGUGCUUUACCACUGAGCAACAUCCCCAGACCUUUUUAUUUUUCAUUUUGAAACAGGGUCUCACUAAGUUGCCUGGGCUGACCUGGAACUUGCCAUCCUUCUGCUUCAGCCGCCAAAGUCCCUGGGAUUCCAGGCAUGUGCCACAAUGCCCAGGCUAUCUUUCUCUUCAAUUGUAAGAAGAUAGAGGGGGUAGCAUCAGCAUUGUUAUUUAGGCCUAGAGGAAAGAGCGAC
rnacentral:lncRNA from 1 species